AUUGAACGCUGGCGGCAGGCCUAACACAUGCAAGUCGAGCGGAUGAAGGGAGCUUGCUCCUGGAUUCAGCGGCGGACGGGUGAGUAAUGCCUAGGAAUCUGCCUGGUAGUGGGGGAUAACGUCCGGAAACGGGCGCUAAUACCGCAUACGUCCUGAGGGAGAAAGUGGGGGAUCUUCGGACCUCACGCUAUCAGAUGAGCCUAGGUCGGAUUAGCUAGUUGGUGGGGUAAAGGCCUACCAAGGCGACGAUCCGUAACUGGUCUGAGAGGAUGAUCAGUCACACUGGAACUGAGACACGGUCCAGACUCCUACGGGAGGCAGCAGUGGGGAAUAUUGGACAAUGGGCGAAAGCCUGAUCCAGCCAUGCCGCGUGUUCGAAGAAGGUCUUCGGAUUGUAAAGCACUUUAAGUUGGGAGGAAGGGCAGUAAGUUAAUACCUUGCUGUUUUGACGUUACCAACAGAAUAAGCACCGGCUAACUUCGUG
rnacentral:rRNA from 1 species